CGAGUGACGCAGCACUCCGAGCGCCCGUCGUUAUUAAAGGGCGACGCCGCGCAACGCACGUUACACGCAUCGCGGAGGGAGCGGAGGUGGUUGGGUUUCUGAGUUUGAGUCUGUCGCUCCUGGCUCUCCCGACACAACAGCGGCGCCCACCUGCCCGCAACGGACUCCCAGGAGCCUCGAGCUCCUCAUUUCCAAAGCUGAACUGCCCCGUGUCUGAUUCCGAUUUCUCUUGAGCGCGUUUCGGAGCCGGCCCAGAACAGAGGGAAGCCAGACACACCAUACCCGGCCCAACAGUGGCAGGGCGGCUGCGGGUGCUGGUCAAGCUGGGUCACCCGGCACUGAGUGACGAUCAGCAAAUACUCAGUGGACGAAAUAUUUGCAGUGCAGUGAGGUGAGGGGCAUAACCGCGGAGCGUAUUCGAAGAGAUGAGAGAGACUGGGGAUUAGGCCAGGCUUGAAGGGAAGAAUGGUUUGAGCACCGAGGACAAGAAUUAAUUCCCCAGGCCUGGGUUCCAGCCUUGUGCGGCUAUCACGUGCUUGAAACCUGGCUAGUCCGGAGUGAGAUGCGCUUUACGUGUAAAAUACAGGAUUCCAAAGACGUCGUAUAAAAUAAUUUGUAUAUUGUUUGCAUGUUAGGUAACAUUUUUAAUGUAUUGGAUUAAAUAAAAUGCAUUAAAAUUAUUUUUACAUUCCUUUUACU
rnacentral:lncRNA from 1 species